UACAGAGGUCCCGAGCGUUGUUCGGAUUCACUGGGCGUAAAGGGUGCGUAGGUGGCAGGGUAAGUUUGAUGUGAAAUCUCCGGGCUUAACCCGGAAACUGCAUUGAAUACUAUCCUACUUGAGGGUUGGAGGGGGACUGGAAUUCUCGGUGUAGCAGUGAAAUGCGUAGAUAUCGAGAGGAACACCAGUAGGCGAAGGCGAGUCCC
rnacentral:rRNA from 1 species